GAUGCAGCGACGCCGCGUGGGUGAAGGAGCGUUUCGGCGCGUAAAGCCCUAUCGGCAGGGAAGAAGGAGGACGGUACCUGACUAAGAAGCCCCGGCUAACUACGUGCC
rnacentral:rRNA from 1 species